AAACUAAACGUACUCAGUUCGGAUGCAGCCUGCAACUCGGCUGCAUGAAGCUGGAAUCGCUAGUAAUCGCGGAUCAGAAUGCCGCGGUGAAUACGUUCCCGGGUCUUGUACACACCGCCCGUCACACCAUGGGAGUUGGAAAUGCCCGAAGUCAGUGGCCCAACCGCAAGGAGGGAGCUGCCGAAGGCAGGUUCGAUGACUGGGGUGAAGUCGUAACAAGGUAAC
rnacentral:rRNA from 1 species